rnacentral:pre_miRNA from 1 species
AAUGUACUCCCUCUGUUCUAAAUUACUCGUCGUAGAAAUGGAUGUAUUUAGAAUUAAAAUAUAUCUAGAUACAUUCAUACCUGCAACGAAUAAUUCGGAACGGAUGAAGUAUAGG